GGUUAAGCGACUAAGCGUACACGGUGGAUGCCCUGGCAGUCAGAGGCGAUGAAGGGCGUGCUAAUCUGCGAUAAGCGCCGGUAAGGUGAUAUGAACCGUUAUAACCGGCGAUACCCGAAUGGGGAAACCCAGUGUGACUCGUCACACUAUCAUUAACUGAAUCCAUAGGUUAAUGAGGCGAACCGGGGGAACUGAAACAUCUAAGUACCCCGAGGAAAAGAAAUCAACCGAGAUUCCCCCAGUAGCGGCGAGCGAACGGGGAGGAGCCCAGAGCCUGAAUCAGCAUGUGUGUUAGUGGAAGCGUCUGGAAAGGCGCGCGAUACAGGGUGACAGCCCCGUACACAAAAGCGCAUGUGCUGUGAGCUCGAUGAGUAGGGCGGGACACGUGGUAUCCUGUCUGAAUAUGGGGGGACCAUCCUCCAAGGCUAAAUACUCCUGACUGACCGAUAGUGAACCAGUACCGUGAGGGAAAGGCGAAAAGAACCCCGGCGAGGGGAGUGAAAAAGAACCUGAAACCGUGUACGUACAAGCAGUGGGAGCACAGGUUUACCUGUGUGACUGCGUACCUUUUGUAU
rnacentral:rRNA from 1 species